rnacentral:misc_RNA from 1 species
UACGGAGGGUGCGAGCGUUAAUCGGAAUUACUGGGCGUAAAGCGUACGUAGGCGGACUGGAAAGUCAGAGGUGAAAUCCAAGGGCUCAACCUUGGAAUUGCAUUCGAUACUGGCAGACUAGAGAUCGGUAGAGGUCAGUGGAAUUCCAGGUGUAGCGGUGAAAUGCGUAGAUAUCUGGAGGAACAUCGAUGGCGAAGGCAACUGACUGGGCCUGAUCUGACACUGAGGUACGAAAGCGUGGGGAGCAAACAGG